UAUAAAGUUAUGAAGAGUUUAUGGUGGAUGCCUAGGGACUGAAUGGCGAUGAAGGUCGUACUAGUCUGCGAAAAGCCACGGGAAGCUGACAAGAAGCUCCAAUCCGUGGAUGACCGAAUCAGGAAACUGCUUUAACAGUGAUGUUAAAGAUCCUGUAAUGAAUUCAUAGUUACAGGAGGCAAUACGUAGUGAAGUGAAACAUCUCAGUAGCUACAGGAAAAGAAAACGAAGCGAUUCCCUCAGUAGUGGCGAGCGAAAGGGGAAAAGGCCAAACCAACUUCGAGUUGGGGUUUUGGGCUCCAUUUAAGAUGUGUAAGGAUAGUAGAAGCUGUUGGAAAGCAGCGUCAUAGAGGGUGAUAACCCCGUAUACGAAAUUUAAGCACACUGAGGAGUACCCAGAGUAGAACGGGACACGUGAAAUCUUGUUUGAAGACACCGGGACCAUCCGGAAAGCCUAAAUACAAAUCAGUCACCGAUAGCGAAACAGUACCGUGAGGGAAAGGUGAAAAGAACCCAGAGAUGGGAGUGAAAUAGAAUCUGAAACCAUAAACUUACAAGGAGUCAGAGCACAUUAAUGUGUGAUGGCGUGCGUUUUGAAGUAUGAGCCGGCGAGUUAUUGUUGCAUGCAAGGUUAAGCUGUAGAAGUGGAGCCGUAGCGAAAGCGAGUCUUAAUAGGGCGUCUAGUAUGUAGCAAUAGACCCGAAACGGGUUGAUCUAUUCAUGGGCAGGUUGAAGUGUGAGUAACAUCACAUGGAGGACCGAACCCACUUUCGUUGAAACGACAGGGGAUGACCUGUGAAUAGUGGAGAAAUUCCAAUCGAAAUCCGUGAUAGCUGGUUCUCGUCGAUAUAAUUUUAGGAUUAGCGUUAGUUGUUUAUGUAUGGAGGUAAAGCUCUGAAUACCUGAUGGCACCGCCUUGGUGUACUGAAUGUAAUUAAACUCUGAAUGCCAUACAACAGAAACUAGCAGUCAGACUGUGGGGGAUAAGCUUCAUAGUCGUGAGGGAAAGAGCCCAGAUCAUUAGCUAAGGUCCCUAAUAUAUGUUAAGUGGAAAACGAUGUUGAAUGUCUUAAACACCAAGGAUGUUGGCUUAGAAGCAGCCACCGUUUAAAGAGUGCGUAACAGCUCACUUGCCGAGACAUUCUGCGCGGAAGAUUUAACGGGGCUAAACAUAUAACCGAAGCUAUGGGAUAGAUUUAUCUAUCGGUAGACGAGUGUUGUAUAUGGGUUGAAGGUAGAGUGUGAACACUACUGGACUGUAUACAAGUAAGAAUGCCGGCGUGAGUAACGAAUGAAAGUGAGAAUCUUUCAAGCCGAAUUGACUAAGAUUUCCAGGACGAGGUUCGUCCAUCCUGGGUUAGUCGGAACCUAAGCUGAGGCCUACAGGCGUAAGCGAUGGCAAAAAUGUUAAUAUUCAUUUACUAAAAGUAAUGUCGAAGGAAUGACGAAGAAGGUUAAUGCAGGCAGAUUAUUGGAUUUCUGCUUAAGUAUCAAGUUUUGUAAGUUGGCAAAUCCGCUUACUAUAAGAAUAAGAUACGAACACGAGCGAACGUUUCGACAAUUAGCGAAGCUGCAAACAUCACACUUCCAAGAAAAAUUUCGUAGAAUUAUCAUUAUUUUUAUCCGUAUUGAGAACGAACACACGUGGUCAAGGAGAAUAUCCUAAGGCUAGCGAGAAAACUAUUGUUAAGGAACUCUGCAAAAUGACCCCGUAAGUUAGCGAAAAGGGGUGCCUACGUAAGUAGGCCACAGUAAAGAGCGAGGGGGGACUGUUUAUCAAAAACACAGCUUUAUGCUAAGUCGUAAGACGAUGUAUAUGAGGUGACACCUGCCCAGUGCCGGAAGGUCAAGGAAGGGAGUUAGGCGCAAGCCAAAGCUUCUGACUUAAGCCCUGGUGAACGGCGGCCGUAACUAUAACGGUCCUAAGGUAGCGAAAUUCCUUGUCGGGUAAAUUCCGUCCCGCUUGAAUGGUGUAACCAUCUCUUGACUGUCUCGACAAUAGACUCGGUGAAAUCCUGAUAUGAGUGAAGACACUCAUUUGGCGUGAUUGGACGGAAAGACCCCAUGAAGCUUUACUGUAACUUGGUAUUGAAAAGUUAUUUCGUUUUUAGAGCAUAGGUGGGAGACUUUGAGACAUUGCCGCUAGGUGAUGUGGAGUCGACCAGUGUAAUACCACCAUUAUGAAAUAAUUUUUCUAACCCAUGGCUGUCAUCCAGCCAGGGGACAGUGCUAGGCGGGCAGUUUGACUGGGGCGGUCGCCUCCCAAAAUGUAACGGAGGCGCGCAACGGUACCCUCAGCACGGUUGGAAAUCGUGCCUCGAGCGUAAUGGUAUAAGGGUGCUUGACUGUGAGACUUACAAGUCGAACAGGUAAGAAAUUAGGUCAUAGUGAUCCGGUGGUUCUGUAUGGAAAGGCCAUCGCUCAACGGAUAAAAGCUACUCUGGGGAUAACAGGCUGAUACUGCCCAAGAGUUCAUAUCGACGGCAGUGUUUGGCACCUCGAUGUCGACUCAUCUUAUCCUGGGGCUGUAGCAGGUUCCAAGGGUUCGGCUGUUCGCCGAUUAAAAAGAUACGUGAGUUGGGUUCAAACCGUCGUGAGACAGGUUGGUCCCUAUCUGUCAUGCCCGUAGGAAGAUUGAAGAAAUUUGCUCCUAGUACGAGAGGAUCGGAGUGAAGUUACCUCUAAUGCUCCAGUUGUCACGCCAGUGGCACAGCUGGGUAGUUACGUAGCGACUAGAUAAACGCUGAAAGCAUAUAAGCGUGAAACUAAUUCUAAGAUUAAUCUUCCCCACCCGCAAGGGUGAUAAGAAUCGUUGUAGACUACAACGUUGAUAGGUUAAAGGUGUAAGUGUAGUAAUACAUUAAGCUGAUUAAUACUAAUAAUUCGAAAGACUUUGUUAA
rnacentral:rRNA from 1 species